rnacentral:rRNA from 1 species
CUUGGCGAGGCUUUCACGGAGGAUGAGGUCAAAGCUGCCAUGCUACAAUUACCGGGUGACAAGGCGCCAGGACCGGAUGGCUUCACAGGCACUUUCUUCAAGGCAUGUUGGAACACAAUCAAGCCAGACAUCAUGCUUGCGGUCAACCAUUUCUCCAACCUACAGACCGCUCACCUUCAUUGGUUGAAAUCACCCAAUGUUGCCCUCAUUCCAAAGAAGGAUGGUGCUGAAGAUAUUUCUGACUUUCGCCCUAUAAGCCUAAUUCAUGCCAUAACAAAGCUCAUUGCGAAGAUGAUGUCCAAAAGGCUAACACCCCUCAUGAAUGACCUUUUCUCACAAGCUCAGAGUGCUUUUAUCAAGAAGAGAUGUAUUCGUGAUAAUUUCAUGUACGUGCGCAACCUUGCUAGACGCUUGCAUCGCAACAACACCCCUGCUCUCCUGUUCAAGGUCGACAUCAAGAAAGCGUUUGAUUCGGUGCGUUGGGACUACUGGACUUGCUCAAUCACCUUGGUUUCCCUCCCCGGUUCUGUGGAUGGGUGUCUGCUCUCUUGUCUACGGCCUCAUCGCGUGUCUUGCUCAAUGGUGUGUCGGGCGACCCCUUCAGGCUUGGGCGUGGGAUGA